GUGGGAGCUGAGCUUGCUCGCGAUGGCGGUGGGUCAGCUUGCAUUGAUGUUGGGUGCAAGACCGUCAUCGCGAGCAAGCUCAGCUCCCAC
rnacentral:misc_RNA from 1 species